rnacentral:misc_RNA from 1 species
ACACCUCAACUCUCAUGGUUUGCCAUGAUGAGCUUGGACUCUGGGGGUUUUGCUGGCCUGCGGUCGGCUCCCCUCAAAUGGAUCAGCCCCCCAGUGUUUGGUGGCAUCACGGGUGUGAUAACUAUCUACGCUCACGAUUGCCUGCCGGGUAACCUUUGGCAACAAAGGUUCGCUGGAGCUCACAAACGUCUCUCCUCAGCGGAGACAACUUUUUGAAC